rnacentral:rRNA from 1 species
UGCGAAACUCGAAUGAACGAACGGAGAGAUUCAUCGUCAUUCCUCGGCGCACUUGCGUUAGUUCGAUGUUAACGGUUUCGAUCGUUGGCACUGCUCGCGUUCGUAGCGCUCCGGGGACGGCGUGCACUUCUCUCUUAGUAAUACAUCGCGACCCGUUCGGUGUAGGUCUAAGUGCCUUUCGGGAGUCUUCGCACCUUUAUCGGUGUGGAUACCGUGAAGUGCACCGACCUACCGCCGGACGGUAUAUUAUACGAAACGCUCACGCGCUCGUGCGCGUCCGGCCCGACGCAAGGCAACGUCGUAUCCGCUGUCCUGCCCGUGUGCGGACAGAGGUGCGGCGCGCCUGUCGUCGCAGCCGUGCUGUCUCGGACUGUGUGCGUAUCUGUCUGCGAUGAUUCAGUUUCGGGCA